rnacentral:rRNA from 1 species
UACGGGGGGGGCAAGCGUUGUUCGGAAUUACUGGGCGUAAAGGGCGCGUAGGCGGUCUGUUAAGUUCGGUGUGAAAUCCCCUGGCUCAACUGGGGAACUGCGCUGGAAACUGGCAGACUCGAGUACCGGAGAGGAGAGUGGAAUUCCUGGUGUAGCGGUGAGAUGCGUAGAUAUCAGGAGGAACACCGGUGGCGAAGGCGGCUCUCUGGACGGAUACUGACGCUGAGGCGCGAAAGCGUGGGGAUCAAACAGG